rnacentral:rRNA from 1 species
UACGUAGGGCGCAGGCGUUAAUCGGAAUUACUGGGCGUAAAGCGUGCGCAGGCGGUUUGCUAAGAGAGAUGUGAAAUCCCCGGGCUUAACCUGGGAACUGCGUUUCUAACUGGCAGGCUUGAGUGUGGCAGAGGGGGGUGGAAUUCCACGUGUAGCAGUGAAAUGCGUAGAGAUGUGGAGGAACACCGAUGGCGAAGGCAGCCCCCUGGGCUAACACUGACGCUCAUGCACGAAAGCGUGGGGAGCAAACAGG